AUGUAAGCUAGCGGGAAGCUUUACACAUGACAAGUCGAACGGCAGCACGAGAUAAGCUUGCUUAUUUUGGUGGCGAGUGGCGAACGGGUGAGUAAUGUAUCGGAACGUGCCCAGUAGCGGGGGAUAACUACGCGAAAGCGUGGCUAAUACCGCAUACGCCCUACGGGGGAAAGGGGGGGAUCCUUCGGGACCUCUCACUAUUGGAGCGGCCGAUAUCAGAUUAGCUAGUUGGUGGGGUAAUGGCCUACCAAGGCCGCGAUCUGUAGCUGGUUUGAGAGGACGACCAGCCACACUGGGACUGAGACACGGCCCAGACUCCUACGGGAGGCAGCAGUGGGGAAUUUUGGACAAUGGGGGCAACCCUGAUCCAGCCAUCCCGCGUGUGCGAUGAAGGCCUUCGGGUUGUAAAGCACUUUUGGCAGGGAAGAAAAGGCACGGGCUAAUAUCCUGUGUCGCUGACGGUACCUGCAGAAUAAGCACCGGCUAACUACGUGCCAGCAGCCGCGGUAAUACGUAGGGUGCAAGCGUUAAUCGGAAUUACUGGGCGUAAAGCGUGCGUCCGGCGGUUUGGCAAGAAAGGUGUGAAAUCCCAGAAGCUUAACUUUGGAAACUGCACUUUUAA
rnacentral:rRNA from 1 species